CCUACGGGAGGCAGCAGUAGGGAAUCUUCCGCAAUGGACGAAAGUCUGACGGAGCAACGCCGCGUGAGUGAUGAAGGCUUUCGGGUCGUAGAACUCUGUUGUUAGGGAAGAACAAGUACGAGAGUAACUGCUCGUACCUUGACGGUACCUAACCAGAAAGUCACGGCUAACUACGUGCCAGCAGCCGCGGUAAUACGUAGGUGGCAAGCGUUAUCCGGAAUUAUUGGGCGUAAAGCGCGCGCAGGCGGUUUCUUAAGUCUGAUGUGAAAGCCCACGGCUCAACCGUGGAGGGUCAUUGGAAACUGGGGAACUUGAGUGCAGAAGAGAAAAGCGGAAUUCCACGUGUAGCGGUGAAAUGCGUAGAGAUGUGGAGGAACACCAGUGGCGAAGGCGGCUUUUUGGUCUGUAACUGACGCUGAGGCGCGAAAGCGUGGGGAGCAAACAGGAUUAGAUACCCUGGUAGUCCACGCCGUAAACGAUGAGUGCUAAGUGUUAGAGGGUUUCCGCCCUUUAGUGCUGCAGCUAACGCAUUAAGCACUCCGCCUGGGGAGUACGGUCGCAAGACUGAAACUCAAAUGAAUUGACGGGG
rnacentral:rRNA from 1 species